rnacentral:tRNA from 1 species
GGCUGCCCGUACUGCGGCUGCUGACCGUACGGGGGCUGCUGGCCCCAGCCGCCCUGCUGCGGCUGCUGACCGUGGGGGUCACCGCCCCAGGGCUGCUG